GUAGUACUCCCUCCGUUCCAAAUUACUCGUCGCUGAAAUGGAUGUAUCUAGAACUAAAAUACAUCUAAAUACAUCCAUACGUGCGACAAGUAAUUCAGAACGAAGGGAGUAGAAG
rnacentral:pre_miRNA from 1 species